rnacentral:rRNA from 1 species
UCGGAACGUGUCCCGUAGUGGGGGAUAGCCCGGCGAAAGCCGGAUUAAUACCGCAUAUGCUCUACGGAGGAAAGUGGGGGACUUGGCAACAGGCCUCACGCUAUGGGAGCGGCCGAUGUCCGAUUAGCUUGUUGGCGGGGUAAUGGCCCACCAAGGCUACGAUCCAUAGCUGGUCUGAGAGGAUGAUCAGCCACACUGGGACUGAGACACGGCCCAG